rnacentral:rRNA from 1 species
AGCAGCCGCGGUAAUUCCAGCUCCAAUAGCGUAUAUUAAAGUUGUUGCAGUUAGAAAGCUCGUAGUUGAAUUUUGGGUCUGGCCGGGCGGUCCGCCCUCCGGGUGAGCACUGUUCCGACGCCGGGCCCAUCCUUCUGGUGAGUCGGCAUGUCCUUUACUGGGUGUGUCGGGGAACCAGGACCAUUACCUUGAAAAAUUAGAGUGUUCAAAGCAGGCGUAUGCUCGGAUACAUUAGCAUGGAAUAAUGAAAUAGGACGCGUGGUGCUAUUUUGUUGGUUUCUAGAACCGCCGUAAUGAUUAAUAGGGAUAGUUGGGGGCAUUAGUAUUCAAUUGUCAGAGGUGAAAUUCUUGGAUUUAUUGAAGACUAACUUCUGCGAAAGCAUUUGCCAAGGAUGUUUUCAUUAAUCAAGAACGAAAGUUAGGGGAUCGAAGACGAUCAGAUACCGUCGUAGUCUUAACCAUAAACUAUGCCGACUAGGAAUCGGGCGAUGUUAUUCUCAUGACUCGCCCGGCGU